rnacentral:rRNA from 1 species
UGAGGAAUAUUGGGCAAUGCCCGCAAGGGUGACCCAGCAACGCCGCGUGGAGGAUAAAUGUCGUAAGAUUGUAAACUCCUGUUAGAGGGGAAGAAUAGUACCGGUUGGACCGGUAUAUGACUGUACCCUCAGAGAAAGCCCCGGCUAACUACGUGCCAGCAGCCGCGGUAAUACGUAGGGGGCAAGCGUUGUCCGGAUUUACUGGGUGUAAAGGGCGCGCAGGCGGGAUAAAAAGUCAGUGGUGAAAUCCUACAGCUUAACUGUAGAACUGCCUUUGAUACUUGUAUUCUUGAGUUCGGGAGAGAGAGACGGAAUUCCAGGUGUAGUGGUGAAAUACGUAGAUAUCUGGAAGAACACCAGUUGCGAAGGCGGUCUCUUGGUCCGACACUGACGCUGAGGCGCGAAAGCGUGGGGAGCAAACA